rnacentral:rRNA from 1 species
CAGUAGCCGCGGUAAUACGAAGGGGGCUAGCGUUGUUCGGAAUUACUGGGCGUAAAGGGCGCGUAGGCGGCCAUUCAAGUUAGAUGUGAAAGCCCUGGGCUCAACCUAGGAAUUGCAUUUGAUACUGUUUGGCUUGAGUUCGGGAGAGGUGAGUGGAAUUCCCAGUGUAGAGGUGAAAUUCGUAGAUAUUGGGAAGAACACCAGUGGCGAAGGCGGCUCACUGGACCGACACUGACGCUGAGGCGCGAAAGCGUGGGGAGCAAACGGGAUUAGAUACCCGUGUAGUCCCUGUCUCUUAUAC